rnacentral:rRNA from 1 species
CAUGCAGUCGAACGGAGCUUAGAGAGCUUGCUUUUUAAGCUUAGUGGCGAACGGGUGAGUAACGCGUGAGUAACCUGCCCUAGAGUGGGGGACAACAGUUGGAAACGACUGCUAAUACCGCAUAAGCCCACGGUGCCGCAUGACACUGAGGGAAAAGGAUUUAUUCGCUUUAGGAUGGACUCGCGUCCAAUUAGCUAGUUGGUGAGGUAACGGCCCACCAAGGCGACGAUUGGUAGCCGGACUGAGAGGUUGAACGGCCACAUUGGGACUGAGACACGGCCCAGACUCCUACGGGAGGCAGCAGUGGGGGAUAUUGCACAAUGGGGGAAACCCUGAUGCAGCGACGCCGCGUGGAGGAAGAAGGUUUUCGGAUUGUAAACUCCUGUCGUUAGGGACGAUAAUGACGGUACCUAACAAGAAAGCACCGGCUAACUACGUGCCAGCAGCCGCGGUAAAACGUAGGGUGCAAGCGUUGUCCGGAAUUACUGGGUGUAAAGGGAGCGCAGGCGGGAAGACAAGUUGGAAGUGAAAACCAUGGGCUCAACCCAUGAAUUGCUUUCAAAACUGUUUUUCUUGA